rnacentral:rRNA from 1 species
AUGGAGCACGCGCAGGACGAGCUCAGCCUCGAGCUCACCCUGGCCACCGCGGUCGUGGCUCCGGCUCCCGGCUUCUUCCUAUGCGUCUACUGCCGCCGCAAGUUCCGCAGCUCGCAGGCCCUCGGCGGCCACCAGAACGCACACAAGCAAGAACGCGCCGCUAAGCGCCUCCGGGAGACUGCGGUCGCCACCACGCAUGCUUGGAAUCCGGGGAGGGCUGCCGGCGCUGUUUGGGUGUCCGAGGAGUCAGCAGCAGCAGGUGGCAUGGCGUACAAGCGCAGCAGGAUCUCGUGGGAGCGCGAUCACGAGCUGGACUUGUCCCUCCGGCUAUAG